GAUGAACGCUGGCUACAGGCUUAACACAUGCAAGUCGAGGGGAAACGACGGGGAAGCUUGCUUCCCCGGGCGUCGACCGGCGCACGGGUGAGUAACGCGUAUCCAACCUGCCUCUGACUGAGGGAUAACCCGUCGAAAGUCGGCCUAAUACCUCAUGGUAUCGUCUGCGGGCAUCCAACGACGAUUAAAGAUUUCAUCGGUCAGGGAUGGGGAUGCGUCUGAUUAGCUUGUUGGCGGGGUAACGGCCCACCAAGGCUACGAUCAGUAGGGGUUCUGAGAGGAAGGUCCCCCACAUUGGAACUGAGACACGGUCCAAACUCCUGCGGGAGGCAGCGGUGAGGAAUAUUGGUCAAUGGGCGAGAGCCUGAACCAGCCAAGUAGCGUGCAGGAAGACGGCCCUAUGGGUUGUAAACUGCUUUUAUGCGGGGAUAAAGUGAGGGACGUGUCCCUCAUUGCAGGUACCGCAUGA
rnacentral:rRNA from 1 species